rnacentral:tRNA from 2 species
GCUUGUAUAUCUAAGUUAAGUGCUGGGUUCUUACCUCAGUAAUGUGUUAAUCACUACAGGCU